rnacentral:rRNA from 1 species
UACGUAGGGGGCAAGCGUUGUCCGGAAUUAUUGGGCGUAAAGGGCUCGUAGGCGGUUUGUCGCGUCGGGAGUGAAAACACCGGGCUUAACUCGGUGCUGGCUUUCGAUACGGGCAGACUAGAGGCAUGCAGGGGAGAACGGAAUUCCUGGUGUAGCGGUGGAAUGCGCAGAGUAUCAGGAGGAACACCGGUGGCGAAGGCGGGUCUCUGGGCCGAUACUGACGCUGAGGAGCGAAAGCGUGGGAGCGAACAGG